rnacentral:rRNA from 1 species
AUGGGGAUAGAUUCAGGCCUGAAAAGGUUGCAGUCUCUCUCCUUUGCUUUACUGCAUAGGUCAUUUUUUAUUAGAGGUUCCAGCUCUACACAGUACCUAUGCAAGUGCCUAAUCAGGAUACAUGUCACUGUUGAAACGCAAAACAAAAAACCACAACAACCAUUGAACACAAACAAGAGAAGAGGAGAAAUCUUACACUUCGAUGAAAUAGAUAAUACACAUGCAUUAGUUACCUCACACUUGCUGAGCUUGAAGAAUUUGAUGAAGAUGAUGUCAGUGUACAUUGUACUUAUGGGAUUCCUUUGCAUCCAUGGACGCGCCAAAAAAGCUGCACAUAUUAAGGAAAAAAAGUGUUUGAUGACAACAAGUUAA